CUUAUACUCCCUUCGUUCGGAAUUACUUGUCUCGGAAAUGGAUGUAUCUAGAACUUUUUAGUUCUAGAUACAUCCAUUUCUGAGACAAGUAAUUCCGAACGGAGGGAGUAUAAU
rfam:Triticum aestivum genome assembly, contig: Triticum_aestivum_CS42_TGACv1_scaffold_501316_6BL